UGCACGACGCAGUUGUAUCACGGCGUCUCUUCAGCAGCGAUCAAUUGAACCGUGUUAA
rnacentral:pre_miRNA from 1 species